GACGAACGCUGGCGGCGUGCUUAACACAUGCAAGUCGAGCGGUAAGGCCCUUUCGGGGGGUACACGAGCGGCGAACGGGUGAGUAACACGUGGGUGACCUGCCCUCAGCUCUGGGAUAAGCCUGGGAAACCGGGUCUAAUACCGGAUAUGACUCCAUGACGCAUGUUGUGGGGUGGAAAGCCUUGUGCGGCUGAGGAUGGGCCCGCGG
rnacentral:rRNA from 1 species